GUGGGGAAUUUUGGACAAUGGGCGAAAGCCUGAUCCAGCCAUGCCGCGUGCAGGAUGAAGGCCUUCGGGUUGUAAACUGCUUUUGUACGGAACGAAAAGACUCCUUCUAAUAAAGGGGGUCCAUGACGGUACCGUAAGAAUAAGCACCGGCUAACUACGUGCCAGCAGCCGCGGUAAUACGUAGGGUGCAAGCGUUAAUCGGAAUUACUGGGCGUAAAGCGUGCGCAGGCGGUUAUAUAAGACAGAUGUGAAAUCCCCGGGCUCAACCUGGGAACUGCAUUUGUGACUGUAUAGCUAGAGUACGGUAGAGGGGGAUGGAAUUCCGCGUGUAGCAGUGAAAUGCGUAGAUAUGCGGAGGAACACCGAUGGCGAAGGCAAUCCCCUGGACCUGUACUGACGCUCAUGCACGAAAGCGUGGGGAGCAAACAGGAUUAGAUACCCCUGUAGUCC
rnacentral:rRNA from 1 species